CACAGAUGCCCUGGGAUGGGAAUGAGGAGGCCAGAGUGCCAGGAGCUUUGUGGAAGAGGCAGGCAGAAGCCGAAUCUUGGGACCAUCCUUUCUCACCUUGCAUGGCCCAACAAGUCUGUGUAGGGCCUUUUCCAGGAAGGCAGAGCCUACCCCUAGCUGACUCUGUGUCCCUUCCUGUGGUUGCCUCACUGGUCCAGUCUCACUAGUCCCUCUGGCUCCCUCUGGCUACUUCCGGCUUCCUCUGGCAACAGACUACUGGGGGAGAUAAGUGAGAAUUGCAACAUGCUCUCUCAUUACCCUCAAGGAACUAGAAAGAUAGAAUCUCUACGGACCCCACAAGACGACUGAUACUACAGACUAGACAAGAGCACCAGAUGAGAAAAUGGAGGUACCAAAAAGUGGGCUCUGAACUGCAGAGCCUGGCUCCAGAGCCCUUGUAUUUGACUACUGGGAUCCACCGUUAUUCUCACAGCCGCGUUUCCCACAGGGCUGCUUUGUAUGGCCUCUUAGAAAAGUCCUGCCUGUCUCCACCAUCCAGACUAUGAUGUCCGUGAGGUCAGAGGAAAGGGAGAAUGUCUCACAUACAGAAAAUGCUUGAUCAACAUUGAUGGAAUCAUAAAUGGGCCUCAGCGGCACCUGUCCUGAGUCAGCAUCUCACAGAGGUUUUGCCAGCGCCAGCCACAUCUCCAGCAUGAAGGUGAUUGUCUGAGUGUGUCCAGUCCAGUUCCUGCCUUAAUAAAAAUCACUGCUGCAAGGGAGAGGGCUGCCAAGGCCCUGCCUCCCUCCAACCCCAUCCUAGCCUGAGUCUUAACCAUUCUUCCAAUCCAGUUCCACUUUGGGCCAGUGCUUAACCCAGGGUAGCACUUUUGAGCCUCGCAACUCUUGGGAGUGAGUUUUCAUCCUAACGUUCUCAGAUGAGGAAAUUGGGCCUCAAAGAGUCCACACAGGUGAGGCACCAUGGCUCAUGCCUAUAAUCCUAACACUUUGGGAGGCCAAGGCAGGAGGAAUGCUUGAGCCCAGGAGUUCAAGACCAGCCUGGGCAACAUGGUGACACCCUGUCUCUAUAAAAAAAUACAACAAUUAGGCAAACGUGGUGGCAUGCACCUGUCAUCCCAGCUACCUGGGAGGCUGAGGUGGGAGGAUUGCUUGAGCCCAGGAGGCUGAGGCUGCAGUGAGCCAUGAUCCUGCCAGUACACUCCAGCCUGGGUGACAGAACAAGACCCUGUCUCAAAAACAAAACAAAACAAAAACAAAAACAAAGCAUCCACACAACUAGCAGGUGAAAAACUGGGGUUCAAACUCAGGCCUAUAACACUAAGGGCUGGGCCUGUCCCCACCAAAUCAGUCUUUCCUCAGACAGGCUGAGGUGUCCUCUAUAGACCAAAUAUCUGGAGGUCAGAACACUGAGACACUAGUUAUGUAAAGGCAGGGUGUGAGUUGGUGAGCUCAUCGAGAAAAUGCUUCCUGGGCUGGGUGCAGUGGCUCACACCUGUAAUCCCAGCACUUUGGGAGGCUGAGGUGGACAGAUCACCUCAAGUCAGGAGUUCAAGACCAGCCUGGCCAACAUGCUGAAACUCUGUCUCUACUAAAAAAUACAAAAAUUUGCCAAGCGCAGUGGCACAUGCCUGUAAUACUAGCUCCUCGGGAGGCUGAGGCAGGAGAACCGCUUGAACCCAGGAGGCAGAGGUUGCAGUGAGCCAAGAUUGCACCACUGAACUCUAGCCUGGGUGACAGAGCAAAACUCUGUCUCAAAAAAAAAAAAAGAAAAGAGAAAAAAGAAAGAGAGAGAAAGAAAGAGAGAGAGAAAGAGAAAGAAA
rnacentral:lncRNA from 1 species